AACUGAUACUACCUGCGGGAACCUGCGGAAGGAUCAUUACCAAGAGAAAUCUUUCAACACUGAAAGAUCUUUUCCUUUGUGCUGGCUUUGACCGUAUGUAAUUUUGGGACUUUAAAAUGGUUCGCAAGGGCCGGUCCCAAAAACAAUAUAUCAUCCUUAUGAAAUUUUUUCUGAACAAUUAAACAAAUGAUUUUAAUAAUCUGUUUAAAACAACUUUCAACAACGGAUCUCUAGAUCGGA
rnacentral:misc_RNA from 1 species